rnacentral:rRNA from 1 species
AUACGUAGGGUGCAAGCGUUAAUCGGAAUUACUGGGCGUAAAGCGUGCGCAGGCGGUUUUGUAAGACAGAGGGGAAAUCCCCGGGCUCAACCUGGGAACUGCCUUUGUGACUGCAAGGCUAGAGUACGGCAGAGGGGGAUGGAAUUCCGCGUGUAACCGUGAAAUGCGUAGAUAUGCGGAGGAACACCGAUGGCGAAGGCAAUCCCCUGGGCCUGUACUGACGCUCAUGCACGAAAGCGUGGGGAGCAAACAGGAUUAGAUACCCUGGUAGUCCACGCCCUAAACGAUGUCAACUGGUUGUUGGGUCUUCAUUGACUCAGUAACGAAGCUAACGCGUGAAGUUGACCGGCUGGGGAGUACGGCCGCAAGGUUGAAACUCAAAUGAAUUGGCGGGG